rnacentral:rRNA from 1 species
UACGUAGGUGGCGAGCGUUGUCCGGAAUUAUUGGGCGUAAAGAGCGCGUAGGUGGAAAAGUAAGUCUAUCUUAAAAGUGCGGGGCUCAACCCCGUGAUGGGGUAGAAACUAUUCUUCUUGAGUGCAGGAGAGGAAAGCGGAAUUCCCAGUGUAGCGGUGAAAUGCGUAGAUAUUGGGAGGAACACCAGUGGCGAAGGCGGCUUUCUGGACUGUGUCUGACACUGAGGUGCGAAAGCCAGGGGAGCGAACGGG